rnacentral:ncRNA from 1 species
AAAAAAGCAAUGAGCGGAAGAAAAUAGUGCGUAGCGGUCAGAGAGGCAACGGUAGCUGAGAAGUUGCUCCGGUAUAGCUAUUGUGUCACCCGUGAGCUGACAAGAGGAAAGGCUUGUUCGGAUACAGCCGUUAUCUGUAUUAAGUGGUCGCAAGGCGACAAUAUAGGUGGUACCGCGGAAGGCAGCAUACUUUCGUCCUAGGG